GCAUGCAUUGGUUGGCUAUGCUAACCCACAAACUAUAAAAAUCGGAGGAACUUUGAAGCAUCAACCUGUCACUAUUUUGAUUGAUACAGAUAGCACUAAUAAUUUUAUGGAUAGGAAAGUUGCAACCUAAUUAGCCCACCACAUUGAAGGUUGUGAUAUAUUCGAAGCUGAUGGACGGAUCUUAACUUAUGAUAGCAAAGGCCAAGAAUUUCUUACAACGAUUACUACACUGAAAGAUCGACCUAUUGCUUACACUGUCAAAAAGUGGAGAUCAUACUUACUUGAUCAACGGGUUGUGAUGCGUUGCAGAUAGUCUAUGGCUAGUGCUGAAAGAGAAGCUCCCCGAGAUUGAUGCUGCUCAGCCUUGAGGACAAGGCUGAUUUGAAGAGGGAGGAACUAUUAGGAACCUUUUU
rnacentral:lncRNA from 1 species